AAUCAACGCUGGCGGCGUGCCUAACACAUGCAAGUCGAACGCGAAAGCCCGCAAGGGUGAGUAGAGUGGCGCACGGGUGAGUAACACGUGGACAACCUGCCUUCGAGUGGGGAAUAACCUUCCGAAAGGAGGGCUAAUACCGCAUAACACCUCGGGACACAAGUUCUGGGGUUGAAAAGAGCAAUUUGCUCGAAGAGGGGUCCGCGCCUGAUUAGCUAGUUGGUGAGGUAACGGCUCACCAAGGCUUCGAUCAGUAGCCGUCCUGAGAGGGAGCACGGCCACACUGGAACUGGGACACGGGUCCAGACUCCUACGGGAGGCAGCAGUGGGGAAUUUUGGCAAUGGGCGAAAGCCUGACCAAGCAACGCCGCGUGGGUGAUGAAGUAUCUUGGUACGUAAAACCCUUUUCGGCAGGGACGAACCUAAUGACGGUACCUGCGGAAGAAGCCCCGGCUAACUCCGUGCCAGCCGCCGCUGU
rnacentral:rRNA from 1 species